rnacentral:rRNA from 1 species
CUGGUUGAUCCUGCCAGAGGUUACUGCUAUCGAGAUUCGACUAAGCCAUGCGAGUCGAAUGUUCUUCGUGAACAUGGCGGACUGCUCAGUAACACGUGGACAACCUACCCUUGGGUCUGGCAUAAUCCUGGGAAACUGGGUAUAAUUCCAGAUAGGUCACAGAUGCUGGAAUGCACUGUGGCCGAAAGCUCCGGCGCCCAAGGAUGGGUCUGCGGCCUAUCAGGGUUGUAGUGGGUGUAACGGACCUACUAGCCUACGACGGGUACGGGUUGUGAGAGCAAGAGCCCGGAGAUGGAUUCUGAGACACGAAUCCAGGCCCUACGGGGUGCAGCAGGCGCGAAAACUUUACAAUGCGGGAAACCGUGAUAAGGGAAUCUCGAGUGCCAGCAUAUAAUGUUGGCUGUCCAGAUGCCUAAAAAGCAUCUGUUAGCAAGGGCCGGGCAAGACCGGUGCCAGCCGCCGCGGUAACACCGGCGGCCCGAGUGGUAACCGCUUUUAUUGGGUCUAAAGGGUCUGUAGCCGACCAAGUAAGUCCCUUGGGAAAUCUGGCAGCUUAACUGUCAGGCUGCUAGGGGAUACUGCUAGGCUUGGGACCGGGAGAGGUGAGAGGUACCUUGGGGGUAGGGGUGAAAUCUUGUAAUCCCUGUGGGACCACCUGUGGCGAAGGCGUCUUACCAGAACGGGUUCGACGGCGAGGGACGAAAGCUGGGGGCACGAACCGGAUUAGAUACCCGGGUAGUCCCAGCCGUAAACGAUGCUCGCUAGGUGUCAGGCAUGGCGCGACCGUGUCUGGUGCCGCAGGGAAGCCGUGAAGCGAGCCACCUGGGAAGUACGGCCGCAAGGCUGAAACUUAAAGGAAUUGGCGGGGGAGCACAACAACGGGUGGAGCCUGCGGUUUAAUUGGAUUCAACGCCGGA